UUUUUUGAGAGUUUGAUCCUGGCUCAGGAUGAACGCUGGCGGUGUGCCUUAAGCAUGCAAGUCGAACGGGUCCCGCAAGGGACCAGUGGCAGACGGGUGAGUAACACGUAGGAAUCUACCUCGUUGUGGGGGAUAGCUCGCCGAAAGGCGGGGUAAUACCGCAUACGCCCGAAAGGGGAAAGUCGCAAGACGCGAUGAGAGGGGCCUGCGCGCUAUCAGCUAGUUGGUGGGGUAACGGCCUACCAAGGCUACGACGGCUAGCCGGUGUGAGAGCAUGACCGGCCACAAGGUAACUGAGACACGGUGCCUACACCUACGGGUGGCAGCAACUGGGAAUCUUGCGCAAUGGGCGAAAGCCUGACGCAGCGACACCGCGUGUGGGAAUAAGGCCUUAGGGUCGUAAACCACUGUGGCGAGGGAUGAAUAAAUGACCGUACCUCGCUAGAAAGCACCUGCUAACCACGUGCCAGAAGCCUCGGU
rnacentral:rRNA from 1 species